GAAUUGUUCACUUUAAAAUGGCUAAUUUCACAAAGGCUUGUAGCAGGUGAAUUGAUAUAAUACAAUUUCUGCCCAGUGCUCUGAAUGUCAACAUGAAGAAAUUCAAUGAAGGGUAGGUAAACACGUGGGAGUAACUUUGACUCUCUUAAGGUAGCUAAAUGCCUCAUCAUCUAAUUAGUAAUGCACAUGAAUGGAUGAAUGAGAUUC
rfam:Papio anubis isolate 1X1155 chromosome 4, whole genome shotgun sequence.